UACAGGGGGCGCGAGCGUUGCUCGGAAUCACUGGGCGUAAAGCGUACGCAGGCGGAUCGAUAAGUCCGUUGUGAAAUCCCGGGGCUCAACACCGGAAAUGCGAUGGAGACUGCCGAUCUUGAGUACGGGAGAGGGGAGCGGAAUUCCUGGUGUAGAGGUGAAAUUCGUAGAUAUCAGGAGGAACACCGGUGGCGAAAGCGGCUCCCUGGCCCGAUACUGACGCUCAUGUACGAAAGCGUGGGGAGCAAACAGG
rnacentral:rRNA from 1 species